rnacentral:rRNA from 1 species
GAACGAACGCGGGCGGCGUGCCUAACACAUGCAAGUCGAGCGAGAAAGCCCGCAAGGGUGAGUACAGCGGCGCACGGGUGCGUAACACGUGGGUAAUCUGCCCUGAAGCCCGGAAUAACCUCCCGAAAGGGAAGCUAAUACCGGAUGAGACCACGGGAGCCUCGGCUCCUGUGGGAAAAGGUGGCCUCUGCAUGCAAGCUAUCACUUCAGGAUGAGCCCGCGGCCCAUCAGCUCGUUGGCGGGGUAACGGCCCACCAAGGCUACGACGGGUAGCUGGUCUGAGAGGACGAUCAGCCACACUGGAACUGAGACACGGUCCAGACUCCUACGGGAGGCAGCAGUGGGGAAUCUUGCGCAAUGGGCGAAAGCCUGACGCAGCAACGCCGCGUGUGUGAUGAAGGUCUUCGGAUCGUAAAGCACUGUCGGGAGGGACGAAUAAGGGCCAGGUGAACAAUCUGGUUCGAUGACGGUACCUCCAAAGGAAGCACCGGCUAACUCUGUGCCAGCAGCCGCGGUAAUACAGAGGGUGCAAGCGUUGUUCGGAAUUAUUGGGCGUAAAGCGCGUGUAGGCGGUCUCGCAAGUCGGAUGUGAAAGCCCUCGGCUUAACCGAGGAAGUGCGUUCGAAACUACGAGACUUGAGUGCCGGAGAGGGUGGCGGAAUUCCCGGUGUAGAGGUGAAAUUCGUAGAUACCGGGAGGAACACCAGUGGCGAAGGCGGCCACCUGGACGGUAACUGACGCUGAGACGCGAAAGCGUGGGGAGCAAACAGGAUUAGAUACCCUGGUAGUCCACGCUGUAAACGAUGAGCGCUAGGUGUUGUGGGUUUUACCCCCGCAGUGCCGCAGCUAACGCAUUAAGCGCUCCGCCUGGGAAGUACGGCCGCAAGGCUAAAACUCAAAU